CUGUAUUGAUUUCAGUACAAGGUUUAAAGUACAUUGAAGAAUAGAAUAACGACUGGAGACAAACUGAAGACAUUUAAAGAUCCCGUACAUGUACAAUGUAAGUAAACCACUGAUCAGUUGACGUGUUCAUACCUGACCGUGUACAAGGUUAGUGGUUUCAAAAGCAGGAUUUGAAUGGGGACGUCAUCGAUAUUUGUACUCGAGUUCGGCAUUCCUUCACUAAAUAAAUCGAAAGAAGAAGGCACUCGAUCAUCGUAUUUCAUAUUGGCAAGUCAAGCUCAACUAUAUUACAUUGUGCAGUUUUAUAAUAAAAUUAUUCGAUCACCAUACAGAGAAAGAUGAUUUACAACAGUGAUUAGCGCACAAGUAGAUCUAGAUACUAAUUGACAACAAGAAAACAAGAACAGAGGAUCCCUACCCUCAAUGGUUUCCUUUAGAUUGACCUGAUGCCAGUGUCUAUAAAUCCUACAUCUGAGUCAUGGCUUCAAGUAUUUGUGUACUGCCUGUCUAUCAAUGUAAAUGUUUAUUGCUUCAAAGAUUUCAAGGAUGCCAUUCUAGCAAGAUAAAGUUCCUGUAAAGACGAUAAAUGUACCAAAUUGAUGAAUCAAUUCCUGCAAGGAAAUUUGUUGGAAAGACCUUUUAUGUGAUCCCAUGGUGUGCGAUCUUAUGAACCUGACCUAGAAGUUUGACCUACUUUUAUUAAAAUUCUGAUAUAUACAAUAUGUCCUGAACUAUUUAAGGUUGUACUUUUCUAUCUUGUAUUUAAAUUUCUUAUUGCAAGACCUUUCAUUUCAUAUCAUGUCAUUUGACAUUGUGACAAGUACUUUGAGUUUGACCUACCUUUUAGAAAACAUAGCCUAUUAAAUAUAUCCGGAACUAUUGUAUGUAGGGCUUUCUUAAUCCGUGUAUAGAUUUUUUGGCAAGACCUUGUGACACAAUGGUGUUUGAUCUGUCAACGUAUGAUCUAGUUGAACGACCUGCAUUCGUUAGGCACAUCAGAGAUAUGCACAUAUACAGAUUUACAUGUAAUACGACCGUUACUUCUCCAAAUUCCGGCAUACGAAAUGAACAGAAAUGACCUAAAAAAGAAAGAAAAAAAAGA